rnacentral:rRNA from 1 species
AGGGAAUCUUCGGCAAUGGGGGCAACCCUGACCGAGCAACGCCGCGUGAGUGAAGAAGGUUUUCGGAUCGUAAAGCUCUGUUGUAAGUCAAGAACGGGUGUGAGAGUGGAAAGUUCACACUGUGACGGUAGCUUACCAGAAAGGGACGGCUAACUACGUGCCAGCAGCCGCGGUAAUACGUAGGUCCCGAGCGUUGUCCGGAUUUAUUGGGCGUAAAGCGAGCGCAGGCGGUUUGAUAAGUCUGAAGUUAAAGGCUGUGGCUCAACCAUAGUUCGCUUUGGAAACUGUCAAACUUGAGUGCAGAAGGGGAGAGUGGAAUUCCAUGUGUAGCGGUGAAAUGCGUAGAUAUAUGGAGGAACACCGGUGGCGAAAGCGGCUCUCUGGUCUGUAACUGACGCUGAGGCUCGAAAGCGUGGGGAGCGAACAGGAUUAGAUACCCUGGUAGUCCACGCCGUAAACGAUGAGUGCUAGGUGUUGGA